rnacentral:rRNA from 1 species
AUCUUGCGCAAUGGGCGAAAGCCUGACGCAGCGACGCCGCGUGAGCGAUGAAGGCCUNNNGGUUGNAAAGCUCUGUGGAGAGGNACANAUAAGGGCUGGCGAAUACCCAGCCUGAUGACGGUACCUCUUUAGCAAGCACCGGCUAACUCUGUGCCAGCAGCCGCGGUAAGACAGAGGGUGCAAACGUUGUUCGGAAUUACUGGGCGUAAAGCGCGUGUAGGCGGCUAUGCAAGUCGGAUGUGAAAUCCCGCGGCUCAACCGUGGAAGUGCAUCCGAAACUGCGUGGCUAGAGUCCCGGAGAGGAAGGUGGAAUACUUGGUGUAGAGGUGAAAUUCGUAGAUAUCAAGUGGAACACCGGUGGCGAAGGCGGCCUUCUGGACGGUGACUGACGCUGAGACGCGAAAGCGUGGGUAGCAAACA